AUGGGCUUUUUUUUUUUUUUUUUUUUGAGAAAAGAUCUCCCUCUAUCCCUCAGGCUGGUGGGCAGUGGCACGAUCAAAGCUCACUGCAGCCUUGACCUUCCAGGCUCAAGCGAUCCUCCCAUCUCAGCUUCCCUAGCUACUGGAACUACAGCUCCUUCUGGGAUCACAAGGAUCCUUGUGUGCAAACCCACAUAUGCUCCAGUCUGCACAGUGAGCUCCAUUCACACUCUCCACGAACAGCUGUUGCCACGUUUCUGGCUUAGAGGUGUGCACACUCAGCACGGGGCCCACUCUCAGGAGGACGGCACAGGCCUGAGGCCGAGUGAGCCCUGGUACCCAGAGCGUGGUCCAGAGGUAGAGAUGUGGGCUGCAGGUGAGCGCAUUCCCGGGCCCCAUGGAUUUCUGGCCUCAAGGGGAGGAGGAAGGGCCAGAAUGGGAAUGGGUGCAUCUGAGUAAGGGUGGUGCUGAACCUGCUGCUGGGUGUCACCUGCAUUUCUCAAGCCAAAUGAUGCCUUACAUGGGCCACCCAUGAGAGCUGGUCUUCCUCAGAGGGGACAGUUUCAGAGGAAAAUGGUUACCCUUGACUGUCUUCUGACUUCUCUUAGGUAAGCCACCUUUCCUAUCUGUCUGUCUGUCUGUCUGUCUGUCUGUCUGUCUGUCUCUCUCUCUCUCUCUCUCGACAGGGUCUUGCUCACUUACCCAGGCUGGAGUGCAGUGGCGCAAUCAUAGCUCACUGCCACCUUGAACUCCCAGGCUCAAGCGAUCCUCCCACCUCAGCCUCCUGAGUAGCUGGGACCACAGGCAUGCACCACCACUCUUGAGUAAUUUUUUUUUUUGUCGUUGUUGCUAUGGGGGUCUCACAGUGUUGUCCAGGUGGGUCUCCAAUUCCUGGCCUCAUUGUUAAAGAAUAAGCCAAACUUGGAGAAAGAUCGAUGCCCCAGAAGCCGGCUGCAGGGGCUUUUGGUUGGCAACCUCUCAAAUACACUGUGGGUGGUGGAGGUUCCCUGAAGCAGAGCCCGGAUCCUCAUCCAGGCCAGGGAGUUGAAGGCAGAUUAAAUCAAUACGAAGGAAGCUAAGACACAGUUUCCUUUAAAGGUUUUCAUUUAUUAGUCAUUUCUGAAGCAGUUAAUUCUCUUUUCUUAUUAAAAAAAAAAAAAGGUGUGUUUCAUCCAGAGUUAUAUCAGAGUGAUUAAAAUGAUUUUUCUACUGGGGAUACAGCUCCCCCAAUCAGAAAAAAAAAUUUCUCUUUUUUUCAAUGAACCACAAAAAUAAAACCAAAAGAGAACAUCAACAAUCAAAAAUAAUCCCCAAAUAUCCAGGACAAAAAAUAAAAUAUUUAUUGAUCUAUCACAGCGAGACACAAAAAGAUGGGGCAGGAGUGGGAACUGCUCUGAAGUUCAGUGGACCGAGGGAGGGAUGGGGGGGAUACAGUACUGCAUGUGGGGACACCCCAGGUGGGGAGGAGAUGCCUAGCACCCCAGUCUGCACAGCCCUGCACACCCUGGGGGAGUGUAGGAUGGGGGUGGAGGCAGGGCACAGGCUGCCAUGACAGGUCAACCAGGUUGAUGGUGGGUGCACCCAGCCAGCUAGUGGUGCCGGGCGGUCAAUGGGGACAUGGAUGGAUGGACGGAUGGGUGAAUGAACGGAUGGAUUCCACAAGAGCAAGGUGGCUAUUCCCAGUGUGGGGUGGUUUGCCAACCCAAAGGUGCCCCAGAUGUGGGGAACAGCGAUCGGUGGGGAGGAGACGGCCAAGUGGACGCAGGAGAGGAGGGAUGCUAUGGGCGAAUCCAGCUUUGAGGCUUCAGGUGCUUGGGUACCAACUGGACGGCAGCCAAGGGUGGGUCCUGGUGGGCAGGGGGAGCUGGGACUGCCCAGGAAGUGUCUGCACCAUCUUUAGAGGAGUCCCAGGGAGGGGGUUCCCCGAGGGGCCAUCCUUCCCUCCUCCCUCCCCCCAGGAAGAUAAGAGCACCGGCGUGUAGCACCAAGUUUCCCUGGAGAUGGAGGCUGUGUGGAGGGGGAGCUCCUAGGUGGGAAGGGAUGGGGUCGGGGGCCAGGACCACACAGCCCUUGCCUCUGAAGUAGGGGGCCUCCUGGUCGGGGCACUUGGCCGCUCCCCUCUUAUUUCCUUGCCCUGUGGAUCUGCAAGGCCGCCCGGCCUGCCCGUUCCCUCCUGGGGUGGGGAGUCGGAGUUUCAUGGGAUGGGGUUACAAAGGGUUUACAUUCUCCACCAAGCAGUAGCACCAACGUUGAUGAGGUCGUGAGUCAGGGGUCCUGGGAAGCUCAUUUUCUCUUCCGGCCACAAGAUUUCCCCAGGCAGGCCACACCUGGAUGGGAGGAGGUGCACAUCACCAUGAGUCCGGCCCCUCUCAGUUUCGGCUCUAAUCCCCACCUGCUCUGACCCACUCGGAUGGAGGCUCCAAGAAGUCACCAGAAGCCAAGUCGCGGCCCCAGGCCAAACUCACACCUGAUCCAUGCCAUCAACUUCCACUGGACAGAUGGGGCCGGAGAAGCCCACAAGAUAUUACUUGGAUGAAACCAACACUUGCAGAAAAGGGGGCAGGUCAUGGGGCCUGGCUGGGGAAGGACUGGGCCUGGCACUGGCUCCUGGCUCCACUGCUCCAAGAAGCCUUUCAGGGAAAGGCUAAGGGCAGCUCCAUCAAGGAACAUGGGAUGAAGGGAGAGUCAGUGUCUGCAGGAGAUGGCUCUCUUAGGGAGUGGGGUGGACCCAUACAUCUGAGAGGGCAUCAGAUAAGUAAAUCAAGGCCCAGUAGAGGGAGAGAGGGUCUUAUCCAUAUAGUGUCUGAGCUGGGACCCAAACCCAGAUUCCUACACCUCCUGGGAAUGGUCUGAUGGGUGAACCCUGUUUCAAGGCAUCAGUCUAUGUUAGGUAAGGCAUCAUUGUCUAGUAGCGGCCCGGAGUAGUUCCUACCCCUGCUUGAGCCAGAUAUGGCUCCUUACCGCCACCUGGUGGCAGUGACCAGAGAGUAGGGCAGGAACAGACAUCUGCCUCUGAAGUUUUUGUUUUUUGUUUUGAGACGCAAUCGUAUUGCUCUGUCGUCACCCAGGCUGGAGGGCAGUGGUGUGGUCUCAGCUCACUGCAACCUCCACCUCCUGGGUUCAAGCACUUCUCCUGUCUCAGCCUCCAGAGUAGCUGGGAUUACAGGCGCACACCACCACACCUGGCUAAUAUUUGUAUUUUUAGUAGAGACGGGGUUUUGCCAUGUUGACCAGGCUGGGGUGUCGAACUCCUGAUCUCAGGUGACCCACCUGUCUCAGCCUCCCAAAGUGUUGGGAUUACAGGCAUGAGCCACUACACCCAGCCCUCUCUCUGAAGUUUGUCACCUGGUUUGGGAAAUGCCAUGAUAGGGCCACAAGCAAGACUGUCGCCCUGUUGAAAGCUGGGCACCCUGGAAACGGUCAGUUUGGUUUUGCCUCUGCCCCUCCCACCCUGGCCUCAGCUGUCUCAUCUGUGCAAUGGGGAACAGGACUGUGUGGAAGGGAAUUCACAGUCCUGAGUAACCACAGGGGCACAGCUGUGACUUCUCUGGGACUCCUUUUGGUAUCAUAUGGAGGACCUUGCGGGGAGGUAAAAGAACCGCCCACACCCUCCCCAGAGGUGGAUCGGCAUAUUUUACUUUUGAGGCAGGAUCUUGCUCUAUUGUCCAGGCUGCAGUGCGGUGGCACAAUCACAGCUCACUGCAUCCUUGAACUCCUGGGCUCAAGCAAUCCUCUCACCUCAGCCUCCAGAGUACCUGAGACUACAGAUGUGCACCACCACACCCAGCUAAUUUUUAAAAUUUCUGUAGAGACAGGGUCUCACUCUGUUGCCUAGUCUGGUCUCAAAUUCCUGGGCUCACGAGAUUUUCACGCCCCGGCCUCCCGAAGUGCUAGGAUUACAGGCAUGAGCCAUCGCGCCUGGCUAGGUCUGCAUCUUUUUUUUCUUUUUUGAGAUGGAUUUUCGCCCUUGUUGAUCAGGGUGGAGUGCAAUGGCAUGAUCUCGGCUCACUGCAACCUCUGCCUCCCCAGUUCAAGAGAUUCUCCUGCCUCAGCCUCCAAAGUAACUGGAAUUACAGGUGUCCACCACCAUGCCUGGCUAAGUUUUUGUAUUUUCAGUAGAGACGGGGUUUCACCAUGUUGGCCAGGCUGGUCUUGAACUCCUGACCUCAGGUGAUCCACCCGCCUUGGCCUCCCAAAGUGCUGGGAUUACAGGCAUGAGCCACCACGCCUGGCCAGGUCUGCAUCUUUGUGAAGGAAUAUGGCUUAGCCCUAGGUGGCAGCCCUUGCUGCCCAGCCCAGGGCACCUUGCACGCCCCAUGCCCACACCCUCUGGUUUCCCUGACUCUGCGGCUCCAGUGGUCCCAGCCCUUCUCCUUCCCUUCUCCUCCAAUGUUUUCCUUCUCUUUUCCAGUUGACUUCUUGUAGCAGGCUAAGGGACUUUGGGAGGGACAGCCAGGCCUGGCCCGGGGUGAGCUUGGAGGGCCCUGAGUCCACACGCAGCUCUGAAUAUCUGUGUGGGAGGUAGGAGGGAUGGGCAGGAGGUAUCCAUCCCCCUUCCCUAACCUCCCUGCUCCAGAACCCAGGCUGGUGGGCCAUCCCUCCACCUCUGUCUCUGCCCCUCCUGCCCUGCCUCUUUAGGGGGCUGAAUCUCUACUCACCUUGGUAUCCCAGGGCUCCUAGGGCCCCUCCAAAGGGCUUGGGGGGUUUUCCUGCGGAUGGGGAGGACAGGAUGGAGGAGGGAGCUGGGCUUUCCUGCCUCUCCCAGCCCCUUCACCUUGGACCUGGCCUCCAUUCUGUCUCAGCAGGUUCGAGUCCUUCCUGCCUCCAGCUUGCCCCUCAGCCCCACGCAGCCUGUCCCCCUCUGUCCAGCUAUGCUCCUAUGCUCCUUGCAAAUCACAGAUGCAUCCUGUCUGUGGAGACCUCAGCGACUCAGCAGGUGCCCCACC
rnacentral:lncRNA from 10 species